AUACGGAGGGUGCAAGCGUUACUCGGAAUCACUGGGCGUAAAGCGCGCGCAGGCGGUCUUUUAAGUUGGAUGUGAAAGCCUACAGCUCAACUGUAGAACUGCAUCCAAAACUAUUAGACUAGAGUCUGCGAGGGGAAGAUGGAAUUAGUUGUGUAGGGGUAAAAUCCGUAGAGAUAACUAGGAAUACCAACAGCGAAGGCGAUCUUCUGGAACAGUACUGACGCUGAGGCGCGAAAGCGUGGGGAGCAAACAGAAUUAGAGACCCCAGUAGUCC
rnacentral:rRNA from 1 species